GGAAGGUCCUGCAAGAGACAACAUCACAUGCUUAUACCAAGGGACUGAGCCUUGAGGUACGGAUUGGACUUAAAAAUGGGAGCUCCUAAGCCUAAAAGGGCAAUGAAUGAUGGCUCCUUAACGAUUUGGGAAUGGACCACGAAGAGCUGUGAGGCUCUAUUGUUUUGGAGCUGGAGUGUCUUGGAUGUGAGGUGCCAGUUCAUGCUUGGAUGCGUUGCAGCUAUGAAAAAGUGAGAAGAGCAAGAAAACUUGAGGGUAUAUCCAAGGAGGAAGGAGCACAGACACACUCUCAAGAACUGUGUGUUACUUUCUACAGGUGGGGAAAUCAGCAAGAUGGGUGCCAUGACUUGACACUGACCAAGACGUGUAUGUCUGGCUAGUCCAACCAGGAUUACUUGUGGUGAAACAGAGGACAAAGGAUACCAGAUUUGGAGUCAUCAUCAUGUUUCCUGGGUUCCUUUUGCUGGGUGACCAUGUGCUCAUUUUGGAAGUGCCUUUUGUACCCUUCAGGGAUCCAGAGAUGGAGCCAGUGACAGCAAAUGUUAAAAGAUAACAGACAGAAGAUCCGUGAACGGGUUUAGCAGACCUGUGAUAUCACCAGAGGCUCCUACAGAAGGAAGUGUUCCAGCCUGGUUAACUAAGGACAUUGAUUUUUGCUUCCUUUAUGUUUCUGUGGGGUGAUGGAUUUGCUACAUGUCCAUCGAGAAGUGCUGGCUGACAAACUUAUAAUGCCAUAACAGAGAGUCUGAGUUGAGACUGCAGAGUUGAGAUACAUCAAAGAAUAUUGCUUUGGACCAGUUGCUAGCCUUGCUUGACCAAUAG